rnacentral:rRNA from 1 species
UAGGGAAUCUUCGGCAAUGGACGAAAGUCUGACCGAGCAACGCCGCGUGAGUGAAGAAUGUUUUCGGAUCGUAAAACUCUGUUGUUAGAGAAGAACAAUGACGUUAGUAACUGAACGUCCCCUGACGGUAUCUAACCAGAAAGCCACGGCUAACUACGUGCCAGCAGCCGCGGUAAUACGUAGUUGGCAAGCGUUGUCCGGAUUUAUUGGGCGUAAAGCGAGCGCAGGCGGUUUCUUAAGUCUGAUGUGAAAGCCCCCGGCUCAACCGGGGAGGGUCAUUGGAAACUGGGAGACUUGAGGGCAGAAGAGGAGAGUGGAAUUCCAUGUGUAGCGGUGAAAUGCGUAGAUAUAUGGAGGAACACCAGUGGCGAAGGCGGCUCUCUGGUCUGUAACUGACGCUGAGGCUCGAAAGCGUGGGGAGCAAACAGG